UCUCGCGAUGUUUCGUCUUCCCGGAAGCGGUGAAGGACAGUCCUCGAGAACGGCGUCGGGAUGUGUGGGGGCUGUGUGGAGAAGGAGUAUCCAAAUCGGGGUAACAUCUGCCUGGAAAAUGGAUCUUUCUUGCUGAACUUUACAGGCUGUGCAGUGUGUAGUAAGCGGGAUUUUAUGCUGAUCACAAACAAAUCUUUGAAAGAGGAAGAUGGAGAAGAAAUAGUUACCUAUGAUCAUCUGUGUAAGAAUUGUCAUCAUGUAAUAGCCAGGCACGAGUAUACAUUCAGUAUCAUGGAUGAAUUUCAGGAGUACACCAUGUUCUGUCUGUUAUGUGGCAAAGCUGAAGAUACUAUCAGUAUUCUCCCUGAUGACCCUCGACAAAUGACUCUGUUAUUCUAAGGAUCCUCUGCAGUUCUGUACUAACUGUGUUGUGUUGGUUUAUAAUACAGCAAGCCUCGUGGUUUGUC